rfam:Rhinocladiella mackenziei CBS 650.93 unplaced genomic scaffold supercont1.4, whole genome shotgun sequence.
UCCUCUAUAGUGUAGUGGUUAACAUAGUUGGUUUUCAAUUUGGAAACUGAUUUAUUCUGGUUGAAUACCCAACAGCCUCGGGUUCGAUUCCCGAUAGAGGAA